rnacentral:lncRNA from 1 species
CAUAUCUCUCUUACAUUUAUGAACUAGCGGUUGAUCCAAUCCAUAUGUGUGAUCUCCCCUCAUCUACUUGUAGCUGCAUUCCACCAAUGGUCAGAUUGAUGCAUAAAUCAUCAUGUGCGUGGUGAUUCAGGAUAAACUAAUUGCCUGAUUGGGUUUUGGGUGCUGCCAAUUUAUCUGCAUAAGUUUUUGUAUUGUUAUCAUACAUCUCCAUAAGCUUUUCUAAUCUACACAAGCUUUUCUAACUGGUUUGAAUAGAGAAUAAGAUUAACAUCUUAUGAAGGAUUGUUGGGAUAUAUAAUAGUGCAAAUGUAGUUCAGGCGACCUUUUGGAUCUCCCUGCAAUUACUUAUUAACUAGACGUAUAACUCAGAUUUACAAGAAGGCAGAAAAUGAUGCAAAAUCUACGUGUCCUUUUGGAUCUCACCAAUUGUCAGCACGUCUGCUUAUAACGAAGUUCUAGAGAAGGAAAAGAUG